GGGUAGUCCAGGGCGCAAACGCUGCUUGCUUGAUGUUAGCUGGGCUCCGAGCUCGGCUAGUGUCGGAGAGAAGUUGUUAAGCAAGUUGCCUGGGAAGUACGAUCGCAAGAUUGAAACUUAAAGGAAUUGGCGGGGGAGCACUACAACGGGUGGAGCCUGCGGUUCAAUUGGAUUCAACGCCGGGAAGCUUACCGGGGGAGACAGCUGGAUGAAGGUCGGGCUGAAGACCCUACCAGACUAGCUGAGAGGUGGUGCAUGGCCGCCGUCAGUUCGUACUGUGAAGCAUCCUGUUAAGUCAGGCAACGAGCGAGACCCGCGCCCUCAGUUGCCAGCGGUUCCCUUCGGGGAAGCCGGGGCACGCUGAGGGGACUGCCGGCGCUAAGCCGGAGGAAGGUGCGGGCAACGGCAGGUCCGUAUGCCCCGAAUCCCCCGGG
rnacentral:rRNA from 1 species